GGCCCGGUGCGGGCGGCCCCUGGCUGCGGCGAGGGGCCUGUCAGGCGCGGAGCAGACAGGAAGGAAGCCAGGCAGGAAGGCGAGCGGCCUCUGCGUGUGUGCGCGCGGGUGUGAGUCCGCGGAGUGUGUGUCCGUGUGUGCGUGUGUGCGCGUGUGCGUGUGCGUGUCUGUGCGCUCCCGCCGCCGUCGCCGAGCGCCCCCCUCUCCGCCCUCGCGCUCGCGCUCCCUCGCGCCGGCGCCGGCUCCCCAGCCCAAGCCGGGCAGGGCCGGGCUUUAUUAAUAUGCUAAUUGUCCUGCUAGUGGGAGGGGAGAGCCGUGUCAAAGUGACCCGGGAGAGCGCGCAGCAAGCGACGACGUGCGUGCGCCGCGCGGCGGGCGGGCGGCGAGGGGCUGGGAGCGCUCGGGGAACGGCAUGCAUGUGACGCAGCUUUUAAAAAAGGAGACGGAGGCAGAGACCCCAGAGAGGGAGGGCGAAGGGGAGGGCUUGGAGGCGCAGCCGCGCGCUCGGUGUCCGUCCUCCGGGUGCCGCCGGAUGGGGAGUCUGGCUGAGCCGGAGCGGGAGCCGCGGCUGGGGGAGGCGGAGCCGGGGUGGGCAGUGUGGUGUAUCUCUCUCCACCCCGGGCCGCGCUCCGGGAGGGAAAAGGGACUGCAGACCCCCUGUCCGUGCUCCCUGCUGAGACGCCAGCCUUCUUCUGGAGGCCCCUUGUUUCGCGUCCCUACCCUAGGCUGGAUGGGUUUUUGCUGAGGGAGCAUGAAAUGAUGGAACGGUGCAGAGUCCAGGGAUUGAAAAGAAGGCCUGCCUAGGAAUGGAGACCCUCCCCACCAUGUGCUUAGGAUGGGGGAUAGGGGAGCUUGUACACUGUGGAGUCUCCCACCCCCAGGUUUCCCCAUCUCCACCCCCACCAGGAGCAGAGAGGACCUGACUGAAGCCAUCCACACUCACACAAGUAUUUCCUUGGCAGCAUCCCCUGCCUGAGUGCACCCCCUCCCUGCAUUCUCCCAGACAAAGGUCAGCACUAGAGGGAGUAGAGAGAACAUAAGGCAACAGAACACUGGCCCGAAAUUGUGGAUACCUAGGUUUGAACGCAAGAUUCGCUCCUCAAUACCUGAGUGAUUUGAGACAACUGACCACCCCACCUGGGACACUAGCUUUAUCCUCUGUAACCUAUGGCUUGACAGAGUCUCGCUCUUGUCGCCCAGACUGG
rnacentral:lncRNA from 1 species